rnacentral:rRNA from 1 species
CCAGGUUGAUUCUGCCUGACGUAGACGCUAUUCCCUAAGAUUAACCCAUGCAUGUUUUUGACAUUUGAAAAAUGGACUGCUCAGUAAUACUCACUUUAUUUUAUGUAAAUUUUUAAUUAACUACGUUAAAGUGUAGAUAAGAUGUUUACAGUAAGAGUGAGACCUAUCAGCUAGUUGUUAAGGUAAUGGCUUAACAAGGCUGUGACGGGUAACGGUAUUACUUUGUAAUAUUCCGGAGAAGGAGCCUGAGAGACGGCUACUAAGUCUAAGGAUUGCAGCAGGGGCGAAACUUGACCUAUGGAUUUUAUCUGAGGCAGUUAUGGGAAGUAAUAUUAUAUUGUUUCAUAUUUUAAAAGUAUAUGAGGUGAUUAAUUGGAGGGCAAAUCAAGUGCCAGCAGCCGCGGUAAUACUUGUUCCAAGAGUGUGUAUGAUGAUUGAUGCAGUUAAAAAGUCCGUAGUUUAUUUUUUAAGAAGCAAUAUGAGGUGUACUGUAUAGUUGGGAGAAAGAUGAAAUGUGACGACCCUGACUGGACGAACA